ACGAACGCUAGCGGCGUGCCUAAGAAAUGCAAGUCGAGCGAGAUCAGGAGCUUCGGCUCUAAAGUUUAGCGGCGAACGGUCGCGUAACACGUAAGCAACCUGCCUCGAAGUGUGGGAUAGCCCUCCGAAAGGGGGAUUAAUACCUCAUGUGAAUACAAUAAGGCAUCUUUGUUGUAUUUAAAGCAGCAAUGCGCUUCGAGAUGGGCUUGCGGCCUAUCAGCUAGUUGGUGGGGUAAUGGCCUACCAAGGCGACGACGGGUAGCUGGUCUGAGAGGAUGGUCAGCCGGACUGGGACUGAGACACGGCCCAGACUCCUACGGGGGGCAGCAAUUAGGAAUCUUGCGCAAUGGGCGAAAGCCUGACGCAGCGACGCCGCGUGACUGAUGAAGUCCUUCGGGAUGUAAAAGUCUUUUAUCGGGGAAGAAGAAUGUGACGGUACCCGAUGAAUAAGCUCCGGCUAACUACGU
rnacentral:rRNA from 1 species